rnacentral:misc_RNA from 1 species
ACCUGGGGCACCAGCAGCCUGCCGAGCUGUUUCCGUUCCCUGUAAAUGUCAGGGUCAUUGCCGUGGGAGAAAUAGAUCCGUUCAAAGCUGCAGGAUUUUUUCUCUCCUGCUUUUACCACGGGAUGCUGGGCGAGUUCACCGCUUUUGGAAACGAUGAGGGCAUGGCCCGGCUUCACUUCUUCGAUCUGGCUGUACGCUACAUUGAAGGCGCUUUUGAUAGCAGGUUUUUCACUGGCCACCACAACCACUUCGUCGUCUGC